rnacentral:lncRNA from 1 species
UGGGAAGCAGCAGUCUAUUCCCGCAGGGAGCAAUAAAAGCCAGUUUUGUUCAGAUUUGGUUGAGAAGUUGGACAUGCUUAACAAAAAGAAGGUGAAAACAGGUGAGCACGUUUUAUUUCAUCUCAGGGAGAGAAUUUCCGUACGCUGGGGCCAUAACUGCAGUUUUCAACAGCUUGAUUUUCGUGUUCUUGUCUCUGAGCAUCCCACCAUCCAUCCAUCACUGCCGGGGCCGCUCCUGCUCGGUCCCGGCCCAGCAAAGGAGCGCGACGAUGAUGUUGAUUGAUCCAACACCACGGCCAGACUUGGGUCGUUUGUCACUGCAAUAAAAGAGGUCCUGGAUCUGUCGGGGGGGGAAUAAAGACCUCGGCCAGGUCGUGUCUGGCUGCCGAGGGCACAGCACAAGCGUGAAGGAAGGGUUUGCCUCAGCCCUGCUCCAGGCAGGCGGGAGGAUGGAGUUCUACAUGAUAAUCCUGUUUUAUGCAACAUAACAUAGCAAAAUAACUCUUAGCGUAGUGCGCCUACCUCAGCCCGUAGUUAAUGGUGUUUCUAUGCAGUGCGUGGUAGUCCCGAACCUGCCGUUUUUCACCCCGGGUUUAAGAUGCAGUGUUCCUUCCUCCUCCUCCUCCCUGCUGAUGUACUGCGUGAUGUCGUGACAGCACAGCCCCGUCCACAGCGAGACACCCUCCUCCCCGAGCCCAGCGCAGGCUCCGCGCCUGCCCCUGGAGCCCCCCGGCCUCGCUCCCUGCGGCGCCGCAGCCCUGGGUUACCUCUGCAGGUUCCGCCCAGCCUUUUACUGCAGAACCACCGCAAGUGGUGACUUCCCGUUGUCCGUUUUCCCUGUCCGGUCCAUCCUCCGUCUGCUGUUUCCCAACCUGUUAGUUUUACCUGUCUUUCUAUUAAAAUGUUGUUUCCAUAGGUUCUUAUCUCAGAAAAUAAAGAUCUCGUCCUAGCAUACUGCAUCUGGAGGCAGUAGACAGUAAAAUACCUGAAAAUGUGAAUUUCUUAGUUUUCAUAAAAAAAAAAAAAAUCUAGAAAUUAACCUUUCAUGUGCCAAAUACUGUAAGUUACAUUUUUUCCUUCAAAAUGUACCUUUUUCUACAUAUUCAAUAUCUUAGUUAACAUAAUAUCAUUGGUGCCAUGAAAAGUAUUUUUAAAUUUCAAUAAAUAUUUAAAUAUCAUGAAA